rnacentral:rRNA from 1 species
CCUACGGGGGGCAGCAGUGAGGAAUAUUGGUCAAUGGGCGCGAGCCUGAACCAGCCAAGUAGCGUGAAGGAUGACUGCCCUACGGGUUGUAAACUUCUUUUAUAAAGGAAAAAAGUGAGGCAAGUGUGCCUGUUUGUAUGUACUGUAUGAAUAAGGAUAGGCUAACUCCGUGCCAGCAGCCGCGGUAAUACGGAGGAUCCGAGCGUUAUCCGGAUUUAUUGGGUUGAAAGGGAGCGUAGAUGGGUUGUUAAGUCAGUUGUGAAAGUUUGCGGCUCCACCGUAAAAUUGCAAUUGAUACUGGCAGCCUUGAGUACAGUUGCGGUAGGCGGCAUUCGUGGUGUAGCG